rnacentral:lncRNA from 1 species
ACUAUGAUUUUAUUUUUUGGGUGAAAUAUAAUUACUUAUUAGUCCUUUGUUUUCAAGUAAAGUUGAAAUGCUAAUUCUCUCUUUUUCAUUUUUUUUUUUAAAUAGCUUUCAUUUCAUUAUUGAAUACAACGUGUUAAAAUAUGUUAAUUAAAUUACUUUAUCCUCCAAUUAGGAGACACGUGGCGUGCGGGUAGUGGACGGUUAUAGAAAAUCUUGUGACAG